ACGGGUGAGUAACACGUGAGCAAUCUGCCCUUCUCUUCGGAAUAAGCGUUGGAAACGACGUCUAAUGCCGAAUACGACCUCCUUUCGCAUGAUCGGAGGUGGAAAGCUCCGGCGGAGAGGGAUGAGCUCGCGGCCUAUCAGCUAGUUGGUGUGGGUAAUGGCCCACCAAGGCGACGACGGGUAGCCGGCCUGAGAGGGUGACCGGCCACACUGGGACUGAGACACGGCCCAGACUCCUACGGGAGGCAGCAGUGGGGAAUAUUGGACAAUGGGCGAAAGCCUGAUCCAGCAACGCCGCGUGAGGGAUGACGGCCUUCGGGUUGUAAACCUCUUUCAGCAGGGACGAAGCGAAAGUGACGGUACCUGCAGAAGAAGGACCGGCCAACUACGUGCCAGCAGCCGCGGUAAUACGUAGGGUCCGAGCGUUGUCCGGAAUUAUUGGGCGUAAAGGGCUCGUAGGCGGUUUGUCACGUCGGGAGUGAAAACUCAGGGCUCAACCCUGAGCGUGCUUCCGAUACGGGCAGACUAGAGGUAUGCAGGGGAGAACGGAAUUCCUGGUGUAGCGGUGGAAUGCGCAGA
rnacentral:rRNA from 1 species